GGACGAAGUCUGACGGAGCAACGCCGCGUGAGUGAUGAAGGUUUUCGGAUCGUAAAGCUCUGUUGUUAGGGAAGAACAAGUGCCGUUCAAAUAGGGCGGCACCUUGACGGUACCUAACCAGAAAGCCACGGCUAACUACGUGCCAGCAGCCGCGGUAAUACGUAGGUGGCAAGCGUUGUCCGGAAUUAUUGGGCGUAAAGGGCUCGCAGGCGGUUUCUUAAGUCUGAUGUGAAAGCCCCCGGCUCAACCGGGGAGGGUCAUUGGAAACUGGGGAACUUGAGUGCAGAAGAGGAGAGUGGAAUUCCACGUGUAGCGGUGAAAUGCGUAGAGAUGUGGAGGAACACCAGUGGCGAAGGCGACUCUCUGGUCUGUAACUGACGCUGAGGAGCGAAAGCGUGGGGAGCGAACAGGAUUAGAUACCCUGGUAGUCCACGCCGUAAACGAUGAGUGCUAAGUGUUAGGGGGUUUCCGCCCCUUAGUGCUGCAGCUAACGCAUUAAGCACUCCGCCUGGGGAGUACGGUCGCAAGACUGAUCCUCAAAGGAAUUGACGGGGGCCCGCACAAGCGGUGGAGCAUGUGAUUUAAUUCAAAUCAACGCGAACAACCUUACCAGGUCUUGACAUCCUCUGACAAUCCUAUAGAUACUACUUCCCCUU
rnacentral:rRNA from 1 species